rnacentral:rRNA from 1 species
CCUACGGGGUGCAGCAGUGGGGAAUAUUGGACAAUGGGCGAAAGCCUGAUCCAGCCAUGCCGCGUGUGUGAAGAAGGCCUUCGGGUUGUAAAGCACUUUCAGUGGGGAAGAAAGCCUUGGGGCUAAUACCCUCGAGGAAGGACAUCACCCACAGAAGAAGCACCGGCUAACUCCGUGCCAGCAGCCGCGGUAAUACGGAGGGUGCGAGCGUUAAUCGGAAUUACUGGGCGUAAAGCGCGCGUAGGCGGUCUGAUAAGCCGGUUGUGAAAGCCCCGGGCUCAACCUGGGAACGGCAUCCGGAACUGUCAGGCUAGAGUGCAGGAGAGGAAGGUAGAAUUCCCGGUGUAGCGGUGAAAUGCGUAGAGAUCGGGAGGAAUACCAGUGGCGAAGGCGGCCUUCUGGACUGACACUGACGCUGAGGUGCGAAAGCGUGGGUAGCAAACAGGAUUAGAUAACCUAGUAGUC